AUUAUUUCUGUCUAACUUGGUAUGUUUUCGUAUAUUAAAUAAUACAAAAUUGAUUUUGUUUAUAUUAACAAAGUAAUGCUGAAUUUCUUUAGAAGGACAUUUACAUAUGAAAGAUCUUUGUUAGAAUAGUUGUUCGAAAUCACAUUAAAUAACAUUAUGCAAUUGUUCUUCAAUCAUUUCAUUUUAUGUCAAUAUAAUAAAUUUUAAGAAUUAGUCUUGAUUCUCUGAAAUCUGUUCGUCGAUCAUCGACAAGAAUCCGUCGCUCUAAAAUGUAAAGAAGUUUUGUUUGAACACGAGUCUUAAAGCGAGACGCAGUAGUGUGUAAGUCGCUCGAGACCGACAAGAAUUUUCUGCGUGUCUGAUCCAUGCUGGCAGAUCAUUACUCUAACAAAAGGCUGCCGGUGCGAUUGUGUUUUUCUGCUUUUACCGUCUUGCGGAAACGAAAAUGGAGUUGGCCAGUAAUCUGAAGCAGAUCACGGUAUGCUUCCCAUCGUCAGCUCCCUUGAAGCCAUCGGACGUCUUAUCAUGAAGCGAUCUGUUUAUCCAUUUUGGUGGGACUGCUCGAACUACAUGAAUGGAAAACUACAAUUGUGAUACUUCUGAGCCACCUUCUUCGGAUGUCCUGAACGCGUUCCUCGAAUGUUGUGUGCGAAAUCUGGAGUUUCAUCCAAAGUUGACUCUAGCUCAGUAGAUGAUAACAAGCGGUUCUUCAUCUCGUUCUGCUAGAUGUGUCCUCUGUCAGAAGGCCAAGCGACGACACAUUUUCUUUUGUCCGGAAUUCAUGAAAAAAGACUGUCUGAUGAGAAAAAAGAGUUUGCGGACGGCAACAAACCUAAACUAUUUCGGCAGGCAUCAACUGGCGGAUUGUUCAUCGCGGAAGAGAUGCCUUGCGUGCAAAAGACUCCACCACAUGAUGAUUUACGAUGCGAUUCCGAGGGACAUCAGCGGUUUCAGUUGUGUUCAUGUCGAGCACACCGAAACACAAAAAUUAUCCUCUUCGGGUCCCAUCCUCUUAAGGCUCACUAAGGAACAUGACUAAGAUUCGUGCCGCAUCGAGGUCUAUGCCACACCGUCUAAAGUACUCUAAAGUGACCGUUGCACUAACUUUAUCGGCCUGUACACGCAACUGUGGAUCAUCUUGGAAGUGACGGUCUGCCAGCAACCACAUCAGACGCAACGAGAGUAUGGACUGUGGAGUGAUGUUUCAACCUACAAGCUAUCUCACUUGGAAGGAAUCAGGACUUCGAGAAGGAGUCUUUAUUAAAGACUUUAUUUAAGACAAUUAAUUAAGACAAUUUUGGAUUUCACAAAGCUCAUUUUGCCCGAAUUUGUCUGUGUUCCCGUGCUCGCAAAUAAUAGUAAAUAUCAUUAAUUAGUAUUUUAAUAGCAAGUGCGCUAAAAGAAAACAUCAACCUGCGUAGACAUUUAUAAUCGCUAUUUUUAUUUUUUGCAUUGUCUCGAUAGUGCCUCUUUUCUCGAAUUUUUUCCUUAAUAAUUUUGCCCUGCGUGGAGUGUUUAUUAUAUCUACAUACGUAUGUAUAUAGAGAUUAAUCUGUACCAUACAAGGGGAAAUUACACAUAUAAAUGAUAAUAAAAUGAUUAUUGCCGGCAAA